GCCGGGCGCGGUGGCUCAAGCCUGUAAUCCCAGCACUUUGGGAGGCCGAGACGGGCGGAUCACGAGGUCAGGAGAUCAAGACCAUCCUGGCUAACCUGGUGAAACCCCGUCUCUACUAAAAAANNNNNNNNNNAGACGGGGUUUCACCAGGUUAGCCAGGAUGGUCUUGAUCUCCUGACCUCGUGAUCCGCCCGUCUCGG
rnacentral:SRP_RNA from 1 species